AGUUCGGAUUGCAGGCUGCAACCCGCCUGUAUGAAGUUGGAAUCGCUAGUAAUCGCGGAUCAGCAUGCCGCGGUGAAUACGUUCCCGGGCCUUGUACACACCGCCCGUCACACCAUGAGAGUCGGGAACACCCGAAGUCCGUAGCCUAACCGCAAGGGGGGCGCGGCCGAAGGUGGGUUCGAUAAUUGGGGUGAAGUCGUAACAAGGUAUC
rnacentral:rRNA from 1 species